rnacentral:misc_RNA from 1 species
GAUGAAGAACGCAGCGAAAUGCGAUAAGUAAUGUGAAUUGCAGAAUUCAGUGAAUCAUCGAAUCUUUGAACGCACAUUGCGCCCAUUAGUAUUCUAGUGGGCAUGCCUGUUCGAGCGUCAUUUCAACCCUUAAGCCUAGCUUAGUGUUGGGAAUCUGCUGUAUUGCAGUUCCUCAAAUACAACGGCGGAUCUGUAACAUCCUCUGAGCGUAGUAAAUUUUUAUCUCGCUUUUGUUAGGUGUUGCAGCUCUCAGCCGCUAAACCCCCCAAUUUUUUUAUGGUUGACCUCGGAUCAGGUAGGAAUACCCGCUGAACUUAAGCAUAUCAAUAAGCGGAGGA